GCAACCUGAAUGCCCGCCGGCUCCAUUAACUAUGAUGGGUCUGUAGGAGCUCCGGCUGCAAUCCGGCAAAAAUGCCAACAAGUGGCUGAACACAAACCGCUGCGGUUUGUGUCUGGCCGAUUCCCGGCAUUCUCUGCAGGAACUGGCGGCUGGAUCACUCUGCCACAGA